rnacentral:rRNA from 1 species
GACGAACGCUGGCGGCGUGCUUAACACAUGCAAGUCGAACGGAAAGGCCCUGCUUUUGUGGGGUGCUCGAAUGGCGAACGGGUGAGUAACACGUGAGUAACCUGCCCUUGACUUUGGGAUAACUUCAGGAAACUGGGGCUAAUACCGGAUAGGAGCUCCUGCUGCAUGGUGGGGGUUGGAAAGGUUCGGCGGUUGGGGAUGGACUCGCGGCUUAUCAGCUUGUUGGGGGGGUGGUGGCUUACCAAGGCUUUGACGGGUAGCCGGCCUGAGAGGGUGACCGGCCACAUUGGGACUGAGAUACGGCCCAGACUCCUACGGGAGGCAGCAGUGGGGAAUAUUGCACAAUGGGCGGAAGCCUGAUGCAGCAACGCCGCGUGCGGGAUGACGGCCUUCGGGUUGUAAACCGCUUUCGCCUGUGACGAAGCGUGAGUGACGGUAAUGGGUAAAGAAGCACCGGCUAACUACGUG